rnacentral:rRNA from 1 species
GAUGAACGCUGACAGAAUGCUUAACACAUGCAAGUCGAUUCGAUUUACCUUCGGGUAUUGAGGAUGGCGGACGGGUGAGUAACGCGUAAGGAACUUGCCUCUUGGACUGGGACAACUGUUGGAAACGACAGCUAAUACCGGAUAUUAUGAGAUUCUCGACAUGGGAAACUUAUGAAAGCUAUAUGCGCCAAGAGGGAGCCUUGCGUUCCAUUAGCUAGUUGGUGGGGUAAUGGCCCACCAAGGCGACGAUGGAUAGCCGGCCUGGAGAGGGUGAACGGCCACAAGGGGACUGAGACACGGCCCUUACUCCUACGGGAGGCAGCAGUGGGAUAUGGACAUGGCCACAGCCUGAUCCAGC